rnacentral:lncRNA from 1 species
UAAAAGUCAAAAGUUACAUAAUUGUCCAUGGUCAUGCAUUUAAUAAAUCUCUGUGACUGGAUUUGAACACAAGUCUUUCUGAACCCCAGUCAAUCACCCUAUCUACUUUUUCAUCUAGCUGACUAAUUGAAGCUCCAUUGUAAGCAGGAAAUAUUUUUUUUUUGUCUUUGUAUCUCCAGGUCCAAGCACAUUAUCUGGCACAUAAGAGAUGCUUGUUGAUUUCUCUUGUCAAUCACUGAUGAUAUCGAGUCAUUUUAUAAAUUUUAUGAAUGAACAAAUGGAGUUCAGAAGUUGAUAUGACUUUGCUAAGAUGAGAGGAGGAAAACACCAAAUCCAGGACCAUUUCCAUGUGUCCACAGAUACUUUUAAGGAGGACACUGAAAACCUACAGAAAAUACAAGAUGUUGAUGGCCUUGAGUUCUUGCCUUUGUAGAUCAGUUGAAUUGUCUGGGUGGAUAUUAAGCAUGGAAAAGAGAAGACUCAAAGGAGGUGGCUUCCUAUAUUACUUCUUUCUCAUGUUGGAUCUGCCUCCCACUUGUUUAAAACCUCAAGCAAAACAGUUAAGGGCAUUAAUUUCAGAUAACAUGAAAGUACCACUUACCUCUACUGAACAAAUUUACUUAAAUUGAGUUUCACAGAUAAGGAUCACUGAAAAUAACCCAUUUUAAACUGCACUGAAGUUAACAUCAAAUGAUUUCUUUGAAGAGAAAGUGUUGUAGGAUCACAACUUUCUGAGCAUUAAAACUAAAGACCAAAACUCUCCAUGGAAAAAAAAGAGAAUUUCUCAAGAUUUAUGUCUAUUAUAUUCGAGAGAAUCUUUGAUUCAAGGUAGAUUUUUUUAACAUAAGUGUAAU